GAUAGAGGAUGCAAGCGUUAUCCGGAAUGAUUGGGCGUAAAGCGUCUGUAGGUGGCUUUUCAAGUCUGCCGUCAAAUCCCAGGGCUCAACCCUGGACAGGCGGUGGAAACUACUAAGCUGGAGUACGGUAGGGGCAGAGGGAAUUUCCGGUGGAGCAGUGAAAUGCGUAGAGAUCGGAAAGAACACCAAUGGCGAAAGCACUCUGCUGGGCCGACACUGACACUGAGAGACGAAAGCUAGGGGAGCAAAUGGG
rnacentral:rRNA from 1 species